AUUAUUUGCUAGGGGUGCCGUAAGGCUGAGAAGGAGGAUUCCUAACCCUAUGAACCUGAUAUGGCUAACACCAUCGUAGGGAAGCAAGGGUUUGUAUAU
rnacentral:ncRNA from 2 species